GGUUAUGGCUCAGAGGUAGAGCGCUUGCCUAGCAUGCAUGAGGCACUGGGUUCAAUCCUCAGCACCA
rnacentral:tRNA from 1 species